UCAAACUUGGUCAUUUAGAGGAAGUAAAAGUCGUAACAAGGUUUCCGUAGGUGAACCUGCGGAAGGAUCAUUACCGAGUGCUGUCCCCCCCGGUCCGCCGGGCGGGGGCACUGCCUCCCACCCUUCGUCUACUAUCCUGUUGCUUCGGCGGGCCCGCCCUUGGGCCGCCGGGGGGAUUUUUUUCCCCCGGCCCGCGCCCGCCGGAGACACCUCAGAACACUGCAUGAAUUGUUGCCGUCUGAGUCUUUAUCAAAUAUAUAAAACUUUCAACAACGGAUCUCUUGGUUCCGGCAUCGAUGAAGAACGCAGC
rnacentral:misc_RNA from 1 species